AGUCAGCAUCUCAUGAACAUGAUCCACUAAAGUUAUAAAGUUAAUGUACUCACUUGGAUCCAGGCAUAAAGACUGUCUGGCAGGAUACCAGUGUGGAUCUGCAGAAACGAAAGCCUGACAUCGGUGGCAAAGAUCACUGUGGCUGACCUCCAGAGAUGCAGUCGGGAGAUGAGAAAAAAGCCAACCAUCACUGCAGCCCUUCACCAGUCGGGGAUUUAAGGCAAAGUGCCCCGACACAUGAAAGCCCUGAUGAAGUUUGCUAAAAAAAAACACCUGAAGGAUUCCAAGAUGUACCUGCAUCACACUGCACAUCUCCAGCUCCAGCGUAACAGUCAGCAGGAGGUUUAGUCUUCUUCAGCUUCUCGGAGCUGACCGGAUCCUUCAGAAGUUCCAGACACUCUGGACACAAAAACACGUCCUGAUCCACAGAAAUUCUCACUACUGACUUUUUACUAAGUGAAUAUUAGAGAAACAUAGACCAAACAGAUCAAUUAACCCUGAGUUUUACUUUCAGAAUACAAACGCUGAAAUAGUUUCACGCUCCUGUCACAUCUGUAAAAAGCUGUGUCUGCAAAGUGUUGUGAUCAUCGGCGGUCUGGCAGUUGCAGAUCGCUGGUGAACUACACACAUGCCACAGUAACAAACUACAACUCCCAGCAUGCACCUCACACACACAAGUUCCUGUUUCCAACUGAUUACACUGACACAGCUGGCAACUCAUCACAGACUGAUUAACUGGACUUUAUAUUCACCCCUCACACAUACACCCGUUGCGGAGUGUUGUUUUCCUAGUGAAGCAUUACAAAGCGUUUUCCUGUUUGUCUUGCUGUGUUCGACAUAAAUCCUUGACAUAAUUGUUGGUCCUCGAGGGUCUUUUCAAGAAGCCCUUGAAAUAACCCUGCAGGUCAGUGGGUCUCCAUUCACCUUAGGAAAGAUAGAGGAGGAAACCCCUAAAUUUAAACCCCAGCAAGACCUGAUGGUUGCAGAGCUUUCCAUUCACAAGAUGGCUGACAACACUUCAUCACUGCCAGAGCUACCAGAAUCGACGCCGCCGCCAGAGCUGCCAAAGUUGACACCGUUGCUGCCAGAGUCACCAGAUCCUCCUGAAUUCCCCAAAUGGCAGGCGCCAGAUCUUUUUGAAUUCCCCAAAUGGCAGCACCAGAUCCUUCAGAAUUCUUUGAAUGGCGGCCACCAGAUCCUCCCGAGUCCCACGAAUGGCCAGAGCUGCCACUUGAGUCUCACAAAUGGCCAGAGCCGCCAGAGUCAUCACAGACUGAUUAACUGGACUUCAUAUUCACCCCGCACACACACACUCUUUGUGGAGCCUUGUUUUCCUAGUGAAGCAUCACAAAGCGGUUUCCUAUUUGUCUUGCCAUGUUUAAUCCUUGUCUGUUUUCCGUUUUGAUUCCAUGCCACCUAGCCUAACCAUUUGCCUAUAUUUCGACUACAUAUUUUGGAUUAUCUCUAGGCCACUGUUUGCUUCUGUACCUGACCAUUGCCUGCAUGUCUUUGCUUUAAUAAA